rnacentral:rRNA from 1 species
CACGUAGGGUGCGAGCGUUGUCCGGAAUUAUUGGGCGUAAAGAGCUCGUAGGCGGUGUGUCGCGUCGGCCGUGAAAACCUGCAGCUUAACUGUGGGCUUGCGGUCGAUACGGGCAUCACUGGAGUUCGGCAGGGGAGACUGGAAUUCCUGGUGUAGCGGUGAAAUGCGCAGAUAUCAGGAGGAACACCGGUGGGCGAAGGCGGGUCUCUGGGCCGAUACUGACGCUGGAGGAGCG